GGGUUGUAAACUGCUUUUGUACGGAACGAAAAGUCUCGGGAUAAUACCCUGGGACCAUGACGGUACCGUAAGAAUAAGCACCGGCUAACUACGUGCCAGCAGCCGCGGUAAUACGUAGGGUGCAAGCGUUAAUCGGAAUUACUGGGCGUAAAGCGUGCGCAGGCGGUUAUAUAAGACAGAUGUGAAAUCCCCGGGCUCAACCUGGGAACUGCAUUUGUGACUGUAUAGCUAGAGUACGGUAGAGGGGGAUGGAAUUCCGCGUGUAGCAGUGAAAUGCGUAGAUAUGCGGAGGAACACCGAUGGCGAAGGCAAUCCCCUGGACCUGUACUGACGCUCAUGCACGAAAGCGUGGGGAGCAAACAGGAUUAGAUACCCUGGUAGUCCACGCCCUAAACGAUGUCAACUGGUUGUUGGGUCUUCACUGACUCAGUAACGAA
rnacentral:rRNA from 1 species